GGGUGGCCGUCUUACACAGGUUUGACUGUACUUGUAUCUCAUGGAGGUGCAAAAUUUUUUUUUUAAUUGCUAGAUGCUGUGAACGUGUACUUGUAUAAGAUUUAUUUUCAAGUCAUGAUUUUUGUUCUUUAAAAUUUUAAAUUACCUGCAUAUUCACUUUGUCUUAGGUAUGCUGUACCUUUGAACUGUUGUGCAUUCUUAUGUAAAGUCCUUUUUAGUUCUCCCCAAAGUGAAAGAGUGACAUUUGGACAGCUCAUCAUCACCCCUGUUUGUGCUUUGUGUGUGUUGUGCUUCGGUGCUUAUAUGACGACCUGUGUUGUAAGUGCCGUAAAACACUAGCUAAAACUUCUUAAGUAUGUUUGUUUUGGUAAGGUUUUACGGUGCUCACAGUUGCAUAAGGUCAUAUGAGCGCCAAAAACUUAAGUAGUAUGUAUUGUGCUGAAAUAUGAUGUGCCGACUAAGAUUCAGUGUAAUGGGGGGGGAUAUUUUGUUUUUGUACGUGUCAUCAGCUGGGAAGGUUUUUUUUUUUUUUCACAAGACUUCCAUGGAAGUUUUGGUUUUGAUUUUGUACAUGAUGUGAAUUACAAGUUAUUGAUUUGUUCUCUGACUGGCUAGCUUUAUCUUAAUUCCAUUUUUCCUCGUUCUUUCGAUCUGAUUGUUGUAGUAUACUGUAGCCUCUAAAUGUCAUUUGGGUCAUUUCUAAUGUCAAUGACCUUAUGCAGUUAGGAGCUCCGUGAAACCUUACUAAAACGAACAAUUUCUGAUGUCCUGGGGGUUAUGAAAAAGUGAAAGGAAAUGCCACUAUCAGACCCUCUAUGUCAGGUAUAACUUUUGGACGGUUGGUUGGUGCUCCAAUAUGGUUUGCCCGUUCUUUCUGAUAAAAUAUGUGUUGACCUUAUCUAACCCUCCCUCCCCCCCCCUCUGUUCUUUCUAUGUUACUCUCUGGUAAUACCUCUUAUCAUCCGCACUUGUAUGACCCAUUUGUGCUGCAAGUGCCGUAAAACUAUCACUAAGAGAAAACAUUACUUACAUGGUAGUGGAGGUCCCGACCUUAUGGAAGUCCUUGGACAGAGAAACCUAUAUAUCCAGAUGGUGCGCCCACAUGGUCUCACUACGUACAGUAUAACACAGAUUGCUGGAAGUCAUCGGGUUUAGCUCCUGUAGCUUGAGGGAUCCAUAGUUCUAGGGAUAUAUUACAAAUAUAAAGAAGAAGAAAGAAAAAAAACCCCGGGACUGCAGGCACUGUUCGACGGAUGCAGGAUUUUGAGUCUUCUGUGGUAGACCUAUCCGUGUUGUACUGUAUUUACAAUUGCAGGCUUUUUCCUAGCCCUGCUUUGUUGACCUACAUUAGUUCAACCCAGGGCAAAAUUAUGAUUUUUUUAGUCCGCUUUUCCCCUUUCUUUUGAAAUAGAGAUGAUUUGAGUGCAGAUGUUUAGGAGUGAUUGCAGAUUGCCAGUGAUGAUAAGUAGACGUACUGUAUACCAGAUUUUUGUUUGUGCCUGCCGCAACUUGAAUUUGUGCUUUUCAAGAAUUAAAAAAAAAUAAAAA
rnacentral:lncRNA from 1 species